AACCCAUGGUGAGGGCACCUUUGUAAUAGGUCCUUAAAUCUCUCCCAUGCAUCAUAGAGUGUUUCUAAAUCCAUCUGUACAAAAGAAAAGAUAUCAUUCCUUAACUU
rfam:Gossypium hirsutum cultivar TM-1 chromosome 12, whole genome shotgun sequence